rnacentral:rRNA from 1 species
CCUACGGGAGGCAGCAGUGAGGAAUAUUGGUCAAUGGACGAGAGUCUGAACCAGCCAAGUAGCGUGAAGGAUGACUGCCCUAUGGGUUGUAAACUUCUUUUAUAUGGGAAUAAAAUGUUCCACGUGUGGGAUUUUGUAUGUACCAUAUGAAUAAGGAUCGGCUAACUCCGUGCCAGCAGCCGCGGUAAUACGGAGGAUCCGAGCCUUAUCCGGAUUUAUUGGGGUUAAAGGGAGCGUAGGUGGAUUGUUAAGUCAGUUGUGAAAGUUUGCGGCUCAACCGUAAAAUUGCAGUUGAAACUGGCAGUCGUGAGUACAGUAGAGGUGGGCGGAAUUCGUGGUGUAGCGGUGAAAUGCUUAGAUAUCACGAAGAACUCCGAUUGCGAAGGCAGCUCACUGGACUGCAACUGACACUGAGGCUCGAAAGUGUGGGUAUCAAACAGGAUUAGAUACCCGAGUAGUC